rnacentral:ncRNA from 2 species
GCAUCGGUGGUUCAGUGGUAGAAUGCUCGCCU